rnacentral:rRNA from 1 species
GAUGGACGCUGGCGGCGUGCUUAACACAUGCAAGUCGAACGAGGUCCAACCUUCGGGUGAAGACCUAGUGGCGAACGGGUGAGUAACACGUGAGCAACCUGCCCCGAACUCCGGGAUAACCAGGGGAAACCCUGGCUAAUACCGGAUCGCUUCAGCGGAUCGCAUGAUCUGCUGAAGAAAGAACUUCGGUUCGGGAGGGGCUCGCGGCCUAUCAGCUCGUUGGUGGGGUAACGGCCCACCAAGGCUUCGACGGGUAGCUGGUCUGAGAGGAUGAUCAACCACACUGGGACUGAGACACGGCCCAGACUCCUACGGGAGGCAGCAGUGGGGAAUAUUGCGCAAUGGGCGAAAGCCUGACGCAGCAACGCCGCGUGCGGGAUGAAGGCCUUCGGGUUGUAAACCGCUUUCGGCAGGGACGAAAUUGACGGUACCUGCAGAAGAAGCCCCGGCCAACUACGUGCCAGCCGCCGCGGUAAUAC